UCCUACGGGAGGCAGCAGUCGGGAAUUUUGCGCAAUGGACGAAAGUCUGACGCAGCAACGCCGCGUGAGGGAUGAAGGCCUUCGGGUUGUAAACCUCUUUUCUCAGGGACGAUAAUGACGGUACCUGAGGAAUAAGCCACGGCUAACUACGUGCCAGCAGCCGCGGUAAUACGUAGGUGGCGAGCGUUGUCCGGAUUUACUGGGCGUAAAGAGCGCGCAGGCGGUCGUACAAGUCGCGUGUGAAAGCCCCCGGCUCAACUGGGGAGGGUCACGCGAUACUGUUCGACUCGAAGGCAGGAGAGGGAAGUGGAAUUCCCGGUGUAGUGGUGAAAUGCGUAGAUAUCGGGAGGAACACCAGUGGCGAAGGUGACUUUCUGGCCUGUUCUUGACGCUGAGGCGCGAAAGCUAGGGUAGCAAACGGGAUUAGAUACCCCGGUAGUCCUAGCCGUAAACGAUGGACACUAGGUGUUGGUGGUAUCAACCCCGCCAGUGCCGUAGCUAACGCAUUAAGUGUCCCGCCUGGGGAGUACGGCCGCAAGGCUAAAACUCAAAGGAAUUGACGGGGGCCCGCACAAGCAGCGGAGCGUGGGGUUUAAUUCGACGCAACGCGAAGAACCUUACCAGGACUUGACAUGACCAGGAAAGCGGCGGAAACGUCGUCCCCCCGCAAGGGGCCUGGCCACAGGUGUUGCAUGGCUGUCGUCAGCUCGUGUCGUGAGAAGUUGGGUUAAGUCCCGCAACGAGCGCAACCCCUACUGUGUGUUGUAUCACUCACACGGGACUGCCGAGAGAAACUCGGAGGAAGGUGGGGACGACGUCAAGUCAGCAUGGCCCUUACGUCCUGGGCUACACCCACGCUACAAUGGCCGGUACAACGGGCUGCGAAACCGCGAGGUGGAGCGAAUCUCUUAAAGCCGGUCUCAGUUCGGAUUG
rnacentral:rRNA from 1 species